AGACGUCUACGAGUUUAUCCUGGCUCAGGACGAACGCUGACGGCGUGCCUAACACAUGCAAGUCAAGGGGCCUUCGGGUCACUGGCGCACGGGUGAGUAACGCGUAGAUUAUCUACCCAUAUCUCUGACAUAACUGCUGGAAACGGUAGCUAAUAUCAGAUGAGGCCUACGGGUCAAAGUUUUAAUGGAUAUGGAUGAGUCUGCGUCUGAUUAACUAGUUGGUAGUGUAAUGGACUACCAAGGCUACGAUCAGUAACUGGUCUGAGAGGACGAUCAGUCACACUGGAACUGAGACACGGUCCAGACUCCUACGGGAGGCAGCAGUGAGGAAUUUUGGACAAUGGGGGAAACCCUGAUCCAGCGACGCCGUGUGUGGGAUGAAUCGGUUAUACCGUGUAAACCACUGUCAGAUGGGAAAAAAGAAUCUUCUGGAUUCUGGGAUUGUACCAUCAGAGGAAGGACCGGCUAACUACGUG
rnacentral:rRNA from 1 species